AUGUAGCAAUGAUUAUGUAACAGUGAGGCAAGAGCCUUUCCUCUGGUGACAGAAGGCUGGAGAAAGCAUAAGAGGUCUAGCAUAGGAGAGGCCAAGAGAACAGGCUUAGAGCCACUGCCUCCAAGCACCACGGGUUUUGCAGGGAUGAACUUUGGGAGUCUGGACUCUUCAUCCUCAUACAGGCCUACGCUCAGUUCUCCGUACCAUGAAGGCAAGACCACAACUGACCUGGGAUUGGAGCUUUGAAUGCCUGGAUAACUGAGCACAGAGCUCUAGGUUUAGAUAAGAAAGUGCAAGCGUAAGGAGUUCAACUUCCAGCACCUACAUAAGGCCUCGGGACAGGGUAGAUGGCAUUUGAAGACCUAAAGUACCAGUACCACACUGAGCUCCAGUGUGCACACACACACACACACACACACACACACACACACACGGACUGUGACAGUGGAUGAAGGAAAUCAAGACUUGUCUACCUUCCUAACCUUCUAGGCCCAGAAUCCCAAGCAGCCUCAGAAACGCUUUUGAGUGCAGCCAAUGCCAGCUUCUGGACUCAAUAGUGAAGCUGCCUGCAGAAGGCCUCCUGGUGGCUAGUCUUCACAUCCAUUUUUUUUCCCUUAAGACAAAAUUUGCUGCCUCCCUGCCCUGCCUUGCCCUGCCCUCACCCACCCCACCCCACCACAACUUUUUCUCAUCUCAGACUGUUACCUACAGUCUUCAGAGUAAAUGUCUUAGCAGAUAGACUGCCUUGUGAGCAGAUUCAACCCUGGCCUCAACCCACGGUAUCUCAUUAUGAUAACAGUGACUUCGGUAACAAGAGCGGCCACUGUUGAAGUGGAAUUUGUCCUUUGAUGUUUGUAAAAAACCUUGCCAAUUUUAUUUUUUAAAUUAGAAUAUAUAUAUGUAUUUGUGUGUGUGCAUGUGUGUGUGUGCAUGUGUGUGUAUGUGUAUAUGUGUGUAUGUGUGUAUGUGUAUGUAUGUGUGUAUGUGUGUGUGUGCGCGCACAUGUGUUUGUUCACAUGCCUGCCACAGUGUAGAAGCCAGAAUACAAUUUGUAGGAGUUGGUUCUCUCCAAUUGUGUGGAACUCAGAGUUCAUCGAUCCAGACUCAGGUCAUUCGGCUUAGUGGCAAAUGCCUUCACUACCUGAGCCAUCUGUCUGUCUAUAAUUAACAUAUUAAUUACAUACAAUAAUAGAUUUCAUUAUGAAAUGAAAUUCACAAUUUUAUACACUGUAUUUUGAUUAUACUUAUCCCCACAGUUCUUUCUUGACUCUGUUGUGGCAUUCAAAUCCAGUGGGAGAAAUCAGAGACUUAGACUCAAUUCAAAUUUCUACUAAAUGAAUUUUUCUUACUGCUAGUAGGAGGACAUAGAGCCAAUACAGCCUGUUAUGAGGAAGUGGUGGUUAAGAGUCGUUCUAAGGGCAGACAACAGAAAGAUAUAUACUUUACAGAAAUCCAUGUAACUCAUAGCUAAGCAAGAAAAUUAUUUCACUUCCUUCAGUGUCUUUUCCUUCCCUCUGUAGAAUAACAUAAAGACCAUUUGGUCCCCUUUCGUAUAGCACUAAGCAGAUUUUACAGAAGCAAAGGCAGCUGUCAACACCUUAUCUCCCAUUAUCUAUUUUUAUCUCACCCACAGGCCACUAAGAUCUCCCAGGGAUUCCGGAACACAAAGGUCAAGAGCUCUUAAGUGAUGCCUGGCUCCGUAUUGAGUUUCUUUAGUCAUCACAGGACCUGUGUAAAUUAUUAUUCAUGUCUGAAUAUUCAAAUGGCUGGGAUAGAGCAGUUCACUUCUAGGCAGAGAAAAGACCUAGGCAGUGCCAUCAGGUCAGGAGGCACUGACCUGGGCUGGCUGUCAAACCCUACAGUCCCACUCUCACCAGCCUUUUCAGUUUGCAGUGGUUACAGACCACCUUCUUUUUUUUUUAAAUUUAUAUAAUACUUAAUAAUAAUUCUUUGGUUUCCGGGCAAAUAUCCCCCUCCCCCCUCCCCUUCCUUAUGGGUGUUCCCCUCCCAACCCUCCCCCCAUUGCCGCCCUCCCCCCAACAGUCUAGUUCACUGGGGGCUCAGUCUUAGCAGGACCCAGGGCUUCCCCUUCCACUGGUGCUCUUACUAGGAUAUGCAUUGCUACCUAUGAGGUCAGAGUCCAGGGUCAGUCCAUGUAUAGUCUUUAGGUAGUGGCUUAGUCCCUGGAAGCUCUGGUUGCUUGGCAUUGUUGUACCUAUGGGGUCUCGAGCCCCUUCAAGCUCUUCCAGUUCUUUCUCUGAUUCCUUCAACGGGGGUCCUAUUCUCAGUUCAGUGGUUUGCUGCUGGCAUUCGCCUCUGUAUUUGCUGUAUUCUGGCUGUGUCUCUCAGGAGCGAUCUACAUCCGACUCCUGUCGGUCUGCACUUCUUUGCUUCAUCCAUCUUGUCUAAUUGGGUGGCUGUAUGUGUAUGGGCAACAUGUGGGGCAGGCUCUGAAUGGGUGUUCCUUCAGUCUCUGUUUUAAUCUUUGCCUCUCUAUUCCCUGCCAAGGGUAUUCUUGUUCCCCUUUUAGAGAAGGAGUGAAGCAUUCACAUUUUGAUCAUCCGUCUUGAGUUUCAUUUGUUCUAGGCAUCUAGGGUAGUUCAAGCAUUUGGUCUAAUAGCCACUUAUCAGUGAGUGCAUACCAUGUAUGUCUUUUUGUGAUUGGGUUAGCUCACUCAGGAUGAUAUUUUCCAGUUCCAACCAUUUGCCUACGAAUUUCAUAAAGCCGUUGUUUUUGAUAGCUGAGUAAUAUUCCAUUGUGUAGAUGUACCACAUUUUCUGUAUCCAUUCCUCUGUUGAAGGGCAUCUGGGUUCUUUCCAGCUUCUGGCUAUUAUAAAUAAGGCUGCGAUGAA